ACUCAAAUGAAUAGACGGGGGCUCACACAAGCGGUGGAGCAUGUGGCUUAAUUCGAGGCUACGCGAAGAACCUUAUCCCGGACUUGACAUGUGCGAAAGCGCCAGCAGGUAGGACCCGGAAACGGGGACGAACGGUAUCCAAUCCGGAAGCUGGCACAGGUGCUGCAUGGCUGUCGUCAGCUCGUGUCGUGAGAUGUCGGGUUAAGUCCCAUAACGAGCGAAACCCUUACCCCUUGUUGCAACCCUCACGGGGCACUCGAGGGGGACUGCCGGUGUCAAACCGGAGGAAGGUGGGGAUGACGUCAAGUCCUCAUGGCCUUUAUGUCCGGGGCUGCACACGUGCUACAAGGGCGUGAACAGAGGGACGCGACGGCGCGAGCCGGAGCCAACCCCGGAAAGCACGCCCCAGUUCGGAUCGCGGGCUGCAACCCGCCCGCGUGAAGCCGGAAUCGCUAGUAAUCGCGGGUCAGCAACACCGCGGUGAAUGUGUUCCUGAGCCUUGCACACACCGCCCGU
rnacentral:rRNA from 1 species